rnacentral:rRNA from 1 species
GUAGGUGGCAAGCGUUGUCCGGAAUUAUUGGCCGUAAAGCGCGCGCAGGGCGGUCCUUUAAGUCUGAUGUGAAAGCCCACGGCUCAACCGUGGAGGGUCAUUGGAAACUGGGGGACUUGAGUACAGAAGAGGAAAGCGGAAUUCCAAGUGUAGCGGUGAAAUGCGUAGAGAUUUGGAGGAACACCAGUGGCGAAGGCGGCUUUCUGGUCUGUAACUGACGCUGAGGCGCGAAAGCGUGGGGAGCAAACAGGAUUAGAUACCCUGGUAGUCCACGCCGUAAACGAUGAGUGCUAAGUGUUAGGGGGUUUCCGCCCCUUAGUGCUGCAGCUAACGCAUUAAGCACUCCGCCUGGGGAGUACGGCCGCAAGGCUG